GCCCGGAUAGCUCAGUCGGUAGAGCGUUAGGCUUUUAACCUAACGGUCCAGUGUUCGAGUCCCCGUUCGGGCG
rnacentral:tRNA from 1 species